UGCCAGACUCCUACGGGAGGCAGCAGUGGGGAAUAUUGCACAAUGGGGGAAACCCUGAUGCAGCGACGCCGCGUGAGCGAUGAAGUAUUUCGGUAUGUAAAGCUCUAUCAGCAGGGAAGAAGAUGACGGUACCUGACUAAGAAGCCCCGGCUAGCUACGUGCCAGCAGCCGCGGUAAUACGUAGGGGGCAAGCGUUAUCCGGAUUUACUGGGUGUAAAGGGAGCGUAGACGGCGAUGCAAGCCAGGAGUGAAAGCCCGGGGCCCAACCCCGGGACUGCUCUUGGAACUGCGUGGCUGGAGUGCAGGAGGGGCAGGCGGAAUUCCUGGUGUAGCGGUGAAAUGCGUAGAUGUCAGGAGGAACACCGGUGGCGAAGGCGGUCUGCUGGACUGCAACUGACGUUGAGGCCCGAAAGCGUGGGGAGCAAACAGGAUUAGAUACCCGAGUAAAC
rnacentral:rRNA from 1 species